GUUGGUGAGUAAAGGAAUGAAGUUUGAUGCUGUCCUCACAACGUUUCUUCUAGACUGCCUGACCAACAUGAGGUCACAUCACUCACUGGGGACAGUUGAGCCAGGUUCAGUUUUUUUGUUGGACCAUGUGUUUUUAUGGUGGAGCCCUCUGUGUUGGCCCCACCGUCAACUCUAUGGCCACAUUCUCUGGACACAGAUGUUGGUGAGUCAAGGAAUGAAGUUUGAUGCUGGACUCACAAUGUUUCUUCUAGACUGGAAAACCUUUUUAUCCAUCACUCAGUGGAGUUAAAACAACCAGAAGCCACAGACCUGUUACUACAGAACAAAGAGAGGCUGUCGA